UUGUGUAAUGCAGCUUCUUUGUUCUCGCUUUGUGUUCGUGUGGUUGUAUAAGCUUCUAAUUACGAGAAAUAGGAUAUUCAAAUGCCGAAUAAAAAUAAGAAAAUCGAUCCAAACUCUGACGAGGCAGAAGGCAGUAAAAAAGCUAGACGUCGUGAUCUAUAUAAAUGAAGCAAGCUAACAAAAAAGAGGUUGUCUUGGCGAGAACCCGAACCAAUAAAACUGAGUUGAGCAGACAACAUUUCGCUGCUGACUCAACCAUGUCUACAUCUUCCAUCAAGCAGCUAGAUUCUGCUGAACAACAUCGUAUUCUACGAGAGGGUUGCUUAUACCAAUUCGAAUUAGGUCAGAAAUCUAUAUUGAUAUUCCUAUAGAAAAAUACUGAUGCAUGAGCAUGGCGAGACUUCUUUGUCACUGUUUAAUGAGAUGGUGCAAUGUGGGGUCAAACCUAAUGAAGUCACUUUCACCUCGGUUUUGCAUGCUUGUGGUCAUGCUGGUUUGGUGGAUGUCGGUCUUUGUUUGUUUAAUUUUAUGCUUAGAAAUCACUCUGGUAGUAUUAGAACAGAUCAUUAUACCUGUAUGGUUGAUCUUCUUGGUCGAGCUGGCCGACUUGAUGAGGCAUAUGAACUUAUUAAAAUUAUGACUUUUGAACCAAGUCAUGGCAUCUGGGGUGCAUUACUUGGUGGCUGUGUGAUACAUGAAAAUAUGGAACUGGGAGAAUUGUCUGCAAGGUAGCUGUUUAAGCUGGAGCCAGAGAACAAAGGAAAUUAUAUACUGUUGGAAAAGAUCUAUUCUGCAGUUGGAGGGUGUAAAGAUGCAGAGAAUGUGCGACUUUUGAUGAAUGAAGUCGGACUGCUAAAGGCACCAGCUCAAAGUGUCAUUGGGUGACAAGUAGGUGAAUUCUUUUAGUUUCCUUGCAAAUAGAGCUAAACGAGGGCUGCAGGGUGAGGGUAACAUCUGAGAAAUAUACAACAAUACGACCAAAGCUAACCCUCUUAAGUCUCCGGUGGUGUUUAUAAUCUCCUCGAUUUUUGCUAUUGCAAUUAUAAUGUAGUUUCAACUCACAUGUGUUAGCUGGACAUUUCUAUUUUCUUCGUUGUUACCUUCUGCUCUUAAUUAUUUUUUCUGUCAUUUUGGUUUAUAUUUACUCAUGUUGUUUAAGUAAUUUCAUCAUAAAUACAACUGGUUUGCACUAAGGUAUAUAUUACGCUGAAACAAUGUUACAUCUCACUUCAAAAGAGAUCUACCACAUUCGCUGCAUUAAGGUAUAUAUUACGCCUGAUUAAAAUAAAAUGCAAUAUAAAUGCCUAUUGUUAACUAAUCUUUUGUCAUCCAUAAAAAUUCAAACAACUCCCCUAGAAACAAAUGCUGCCUCUUGCAAAUGUGACAAGACAAUUAACUGGAAAGACAUUUACCAUUCAAGUCAAAAAGUCAUUUGCUAAAACAAUGGAUAGAACUCCCGGAAAAUUAAUUAUCUUGUCAUAUGCGAAAAAAGAAAACAUCAUCAGUGCACCAUCAUCACCUGCUCCAUUGGACACAACAGGAAGCAGCAAAAGGAAGAUCGAAAAUCCUGUGACAAGCAAGAGGCCACUUCCCAUCACAAACAUGUUCUAGAGGUGAAGACUCCCCCUCCAAAACACUAUAACAAGUGAAAAGGCAUGUCGGCUCCACUUUGCAAUGUGAUUGGAGCCAUUUUUUGUCACUGUAGCAAGCAUAAUCAUAACGGAUCACUUUCCUUUUGCGUAUGUAAAUAAAAUGUACAUAGCUAUGUUAUAAAACUUGACUCCAACACUAAUAUAUAAUUUUUGGUUGUGUCACACUUGUUAUGUACUUAAUAUGCAAUCUUCAUAUAUGUAUCCCCUUGAAAUGUUGGGCCCGUGCUGGCACGGGCCAUCCACUUCUAGUCUAGUUACUACUUAUUAGAAGUGAGAGUUGAGGUGUACCAACAUUGCACUAUUAUAUUGUACAAAAGGGAUCAUGAAUUGUACUAUAU